GGCGGACUACACGAUACCCCUAGUACGGCGAGUGAAGCGGGUCUAGCUCAAGAUGUAAAUCUGCACUGUAACGGUGCCGAAUUGUGGUCUAAAGACUUUGGCGCUAUUCUGCCGGGGCAAGUUCCUUGGAAAAGGACACCUUAGAGGGUGACAGUCCCGUUCCCCUGGUAGAUUGAGUCAGAUGUCAACGAGUCGAGUUGUUUGGGAUUGCAGCUCUAAUUUGGUGGUAAAUUCCAUCUAAAGCUAAAUAUUGGUGGGAAACCGAUAGCGUACAAGUACCGUGAGGGAAAGAUGCAAAGAACUUUGAAAAGAGAGUUAAAGAGUACCUGAAACCGCUGAAAUGGAAGCGAAGGAAACCAGUGUAAGUCCUUUUCAUAUUUCCCUGGCCGCUUGCGGUCUGGGCGCUGUGGAGGGGCGUUGUUUGUCGUGGUUGUUUCCGGUGGAAGAGCUUGGUUGGCUUCGGCCUUCCUGUGCUAGCGCCGGUCUUGACUCCGACAGACGAAAUGGUUUUCUUUACCCCGUCUUGAAACC
rnacentral:rRNA from 1 species